rnacentral:rRNA from 1 species
ACGUAGGGGGCAAGCGUUGUCCGGAAUCAUUGGGCGUAAAGAGCGUGUAGGUGGACUGGAAGGUCUGGUGUGAAAGCCCGGGGCUCAACCCCGGAGGGUCACUGGAAACCAACAGUCUUGAGUCCGGAAGAGGAGAGUGGAAUUCCUGGUGUAGCGGUGGAAUGCGCAGAUAUCAGGAGGAACACCAAUGGCGAAGGCAGCUCUCUGGUACGUGACUGACACUGAGACGCGAAAGCGUGGGGAGCGAACAGG